rnacentral:rRNA from 1 species
GACGAACGCUGGCGGCGUGCCUAAUACAUGCAAGUAGAACGCUGAAGGAGGAGCUUGCUUCUCUGGAUGAGUUGCGAACGGGUGAGUAACGCGUAGGUAACCUGCCUGGUAGCGGGGGAUAACUAUUGGAAACGAUAGCUAAUACCGCAUAAUAGCAGUUGUUGCAUGACAACUGUUUGAAAGGUGCAAUUGCACCACUACCAGAUGGACCUGCGUUGUAUUAGCUAGUUGGUGGGGUAACGGCUCACCAAGGCGACGAUACAUAGCCGACCUGAGAGGGUGAUCGGCCACACUGGGACUGGGACACGGCCCAGACUACUACGGGAGGCAGCAGGAGGGAAUCUUCGGCAAUGGACGGAAGUCUGAACGAGCAACGCCGCGUGAGUGAAGAAGGUUUUCGGAUCGUAAGGCUCUGUUGUAAGAGAAGAACGAGUGUGAGAGUGGAAAGUUCACACUGUGACGGUAUCUUAACAGAAAGGGACGGCUAACUACGUG